CCUGAGCCUUUCGUAACAAAGC
rnacentral:miRNA from 1 species